UGCCAGCAUCCGCGGUACUACUGAUUGGGCGAGCGUUAUUCGGAAUUACUGGGCGUAAAGGGUGCGUAGGCGGCCCAUCAAGUUAGACGUGAAAGCCCGGGGCUCAACCCCGGAACUGCGCUCAAAACUGGUAGGCUAGAGACCGGGAGGGGCAAGCGGAAUUCCCAGUGUAGAGGUGAAAUUCGUAGAUAUUGGGAAGAACACCAGUGGCGAAGGCGGCUUACUGGCCCGGUUCUGACGCUGAGGUGCGAAAGCGUGGGGAGCAAACAGGAUUAGAUA
rnacentral:rRNA from 1 species